CGGGCACCACGGCCCCGGGACAGCGCUUCUCCAGGAACUCUUGGAAGCCCUGGACGCCCAUGCUUCGUCGGUGGGCAGACGAGACGGCGGCUGCGCGAGCAGGGGUGAAGCCUCUUCCUUCCACCUCCGGGAGCCAUGUUGCCUCGUCUUCUCUAUGAUCUAUUGGUGGCAGUUAAGUUUACUAAAGGUUGCAGGAUCAAGAGGAGUCACAUUUAGGUUGUCACUGAAGUAGAUGAGGAAGGGGCAUGUCGAUGCCAUGCCAUUGCUUCUGGAUGCAGAAGUUGCAUGUGACUUGCAUUUAUCCGUGGAUUCUGUUAGCACCCCUUUUCUACCACCUUCUCUACCUUAUCCUCAUGGUUGCAGCAGGAGCCAUCCUUUAUGUGCCUUCACAGAGAAUUUGGGAUUGAGCUG